rnacentral:miRNA from 1 species
ACUUAAGAAAGCGGAUUCCCAGGCACCAUGCUGAUCUACUGAAUCAGACUAUCUGUGAGUGGAGUCUAGCAAUCUGCAUUUUAAAC